rnacentral:rRNA from 1 species
GUGGUUAAAAAGCUCGUAGUUGGAUCUCAACAGCCUUGAAGCGGUUAACUUUGUAGUUUUACUGCUUUAUAGGCUGUGCUUUUGCUGGAGGUUUAGGGGUGCUCUUGAUCGAGUGUCUCUGGAUGCCAGCAGGUUUACUUUGAAAAAAUUAGAGUGCUCAAAGCAGGCUAAAAUGCCUGAAUAUUCGUGCAUGGAAUAAUAGAAUAGGAUGUCGAUCCUAUUUUGUUGGUUUUCGGGACUCGACAUAAUGAUAAAUAGGGACAGCCGGGGGCAUUUGUAUUCAAACGACAGAGGUGAAAUUCUUGGACCGUUUGAAGACAAACUACUGCGAAAGCAUUUGCCAAGAAUGUUUUCAUUAAUCAAGAACGAAAGUUAGAGGUUCGAAGGCGAUUAGAUACCGCCCUAGUUCUAACCAUAAACGAUGCCAGCUAGCGAUCUGCCUGCGUUUUUACUGUAGACUGGGCAGGAAGCUUCCGGGAAACCAAAGCAUUUGGGUUCCAGGGGAAGUAUGGUUGCAAAGCUGAAACUUAAAGGAAUUGACGGAAGGGCACCACCAG